AUGUGAAUUUUGGCUGAAAGAAAUUUCUAGGACACAUAGUAAGGUAGAGGGGUAUCAAGGUAGAUCCCAGUAAGGUAGAGGCUAUUCUGAAUUGGAAACCGCUCAGAAAUGUCACUGAAGUUCAUAGUUUCUUGGGUUUAGCUUGUUACUACCACCGUUUUGUGAAGAGAUGUAAAAUUUCAAUGGACUGAUAAAUGGCAGCAGAGUUUUGAUGAGUUGAAG
rnacentral:misc_RNA from 1 species